rnacentral:rRNA from 1 species
CCCGUCACACCACCCGAGUUGGGGAUACCCGAAGCCAUUAGCCUAACCGCAAGGAGGGCGAUGUCGAAGGUAUGCUUAGUAAGGGGGGUGAAGUCGUAACAAGGUAGCCGUACCGGAAGGUGUGGCUGGAUCACCUCCUUUCAAUGUGAAAGGUCCUCUAUGAGGAAAAUGAGUUUUGUAAACUCAAUAGAUAGCUUCCUUGGCUAUCAAAAAGUUGUCAUGUCUUCCUUGGGAUCAGCGCCGGAGCUAACGCGUUAAGUGUACCGCCUGGGGAGUAUGCCGGCAACGGUGAAACUCAAAGGAAUUGACGGGGGCCCGCACAAGCGGUGGAGCAUGUGGUUUAAUUCGAUGAUACGCGAGGAACCUUACCAGGGCUUGACAUAUACAGGCAAACUAUAGAGAUAUAGUCCUCUCUUCGGAGAUCUGUAUACAGGUGCUGCAUGGUUGUCGUCAGCUCGUGCCGUGAGGUGUUGGGUUAAGUCCCGCAACGAGCGCAACCCUUGUUGUCUGUUACCAUCAUUUAGUUGGGGACUCAGGCGAGACUGCCGGUGAUAAACCGGAGGAAGGUGGGGAUGACGUCAAAUCAGCAUGGCCCUUAUGUCCUGGGCUACACACGUGCUACAAUGGCCGAUACAAAGCGCAGCAAGACCGCAAGGUGGAGCGAAUCGCAAAAAGUCGGUCUCAGUCCGGAUUGGAGUCUGCAACUCGACUCCAUGAAGUUGGAAUCGCUAGUAAUCGCAUAUCAGCAUGAUGCGGUGAAUACGUUCCCGGGCCUUGUACACACCGCCCGUCACACCACCCGAGUUGGGAGUGCCCGAAGUCGUUAGUCUAACCGCAAGGAGGACGAUGCCUAAGGUAAGUCUAGUAAGGGGGGUGAAGUCGU